rnacentral:rRNA from 1 species
CACGGGGGGGAGCAAGCGUUGUUCGGAAUCACUGGGCGUAAGGGCGUGUAGGCGGUCAUGUAAGUGGAAUGUGAAAUCCCUCGGCUUACCCGAGGACCUGCAUCCCAAACUGCAUGACUUGAGUACGGGAGAGGAUGAGGGAAUUCCAGGUGUAGCGGUGAAAUGCGUAGAUAUCAGGAGGAACACCGGUGGCGAAGGCGCUCAUCUGGCCCGUUUCUGACGCUGAGGCGCGAAAGCUAGGGUAGCGAACGGG